AGCAUCACAAUCCUGGAGUGUCUGAACAAACUGGUUGUUAGGGAAUGCAUGGAUAGAUCAGGGCAGUAUAAAAGAUGAAAGAAUUUGGCGGCAAAAUAUGGUAAAUAUGUUUAAUUUUCAUUUUUCCACAGUUGUACAGAACAUUUUGGAAGUUGGAGACUCCUCUUGGGGAGCCCAAUUGAGGUUAUACCAGAUAGACAGAGCAAGCACCAAAUCAGCUGUGACAUCUCUGUGCUUUCAGUUCCUUAUGAAACUUCUCAGUCUGCUGUGAGCUGCAUCAGCAAUUUAACUGCCACCCACCUAGAGAAAGAAGUGAAGAACUGCAGUAGCCUCCCGCUCCAAGGAACUGUACUUGCCCAAACCUGCUUCUUGCAUUAAGAUCAAACUGCACGUGCCACAGUUGGAAAGAUGAGGUCUAUUGUGCUGUGUAGCCUUUGAUUAAAAGAUCACUGAUGGGUUACACAAAUUUCAAGUAAUAAGUAGCUGGUUAACACCUUGACGGUAUCCUACCUAUCUGUAUCCUGACUGGUCAGAUUAUGCCCUAUACUUCACAGCAGCACAAACUAAUAUGAACCAUCUCAAGCAGGUGAACAGUGGUAUUUCGACACCAGAGACACCAGGAAUUAAUAAAAAAUAUUAACAGGAACUUUAAGGACAUGUGGAGGCAAACUGAAGAACAGCACAGCUUUAACUUCAUCAAAAGAAAACUGAAGUAAAAGAAGUAUCCCAAAAUGCAGAAUAACACUGGCAUGGACAACACAGGGUUUAGUUUUAUGCAGAUUGAGUGCCAGUCUUGUGGGUAUAUACAGUUCCAUGCACCACUGUUUGCUUUUUUUUGUGUUCAUAUGUUUCAGACAGGUGUAGAGAUCUCAGACAUGACUUCAGUACAAAAUGGCAGAGUCUUAGCCCUAAGCCAUUAAAUAAAUAUCAGUAAGGUGAGACCUGACUGAUAGCGUUGGUACAAAUAUGCAGAGCCUUCAUGCAGUGAGUGACUUGUAUUGUGCUAACACGAUGGUCUAUAAGAGACUGGAAAAGAAAAGCAAUUGGUAAUAAAUCCAUGUGACAACAAACCAUUUUCCUUCCUGUACACUGUGUACCGGCUUGCGCCUGCUACCUGCAGAAUCACUGCAGUGCUACUGUAUUUCAGUGGGCCAGGAUCAGCCUUGUGAUAGCACUAAGCACAAGUUAUAAUGGAGGAAAACCUAGAGAAAUUAAUGUGCUGCAUGAUAAAAUAAUGCAUC